AAUGCUAGUGAGAUGUGUUCCUCUGUCCUCAUGUCUCAUGGAUUGUCUUGGGAUUUGUUCCUUUACAGACCCCGUGCUUUCUCUGAGGAGAGUGAGUCAGGUUUUGGCCAGAACAGUUUGACAAGUAUCCUUCCCUGCUACUACCUGCUUUUCUUUGGCAUACCCUGGACCCAGAGCAAGGAGGGAGUAGGAAACACCAUCCCAGAGCUGUGUCUGCACUAGGGGGCUGUGCUUGCAUGGCGAUAAGAGGAUUAGAAGUUUAGAGAAAGCUUUGUCCUCGUGUGGUAAGCCCUGAUAACAAACUUUGACUCAGUUAGCUGCUGCUUACAGCACAUUCCUCAUUGGAACAUAUCUGCAAUUGACCUUGACAUGGAAAACAUAAACCCGGUGGAAACAAACUGGUGAUGAUCUCCGUCUAACUGGAGAGCAGACUUCUGAUGUGAGCGCUGCAGCACCAUCCUUUCGGUAGCCCUGAGUCUCUGUAGGUGGAUGAACUGUUUCAGGACAUUCCUUCAUUCUGAGAAGUGGCUGUGGCCAACCAGCUGGAGGCUGCUGAGCUGCCCUGCGGUGCAAGAGGUGUGCUGGCAGGCAGCCCUGUGUUAAUUUUGAUGGCAAAGCUGUCUGAUCUUUUCCAGCUCUGACUUUUGGGUUUCUGCAAAGUAAAAAACUGCCCUAUGCAAAGGUGAUUCCACGCCAGGAGAAGGGUUCUGUGCUCCUUAGAGGGAAUGAAGGGAGGUAACUGAUCAUUCUCUGUAGCUGAUCCCAUUCUGACAGUUCUCAUUACAUCAAAUUUGAGUGCUCACUCUACCAUAUGGGAAAAGAGGCGGGGGAGUCUGUCUAGGACCACUGCUGGGGUGGGUCUCCAGUGGUGCUUGUGUCUUGACCUCAGGCAAUGCUUCCAUUCUUCCUUUGUUAAAAGAGUGAUUUGUCAGAUGCCAGGGACUCCUCAAUAAGUCUCCUGGGCUGGAGGAGAAUGGUCAGCAGUAUCUCAUAGGUUUCAUCACAGAACAAUUUUUAACGUUCAGAUUGGUUGUCCCUAGGACUUAAGUUGAGUUUGUCACAUCAGUAUCAUAGCAGAAGCAAAAGAGCUGCUAUCUUGGCAGGUGCUGGAACACCUUCCGGGCUCCUGGAGCUGGGGACAGCACUCAGCUCUUCAUAGAGAAGUGUGAUGCAGAAAAUUAGUUGUUAAAGCAAAUACAGGGAGAAAGGAGCAAGACAAGUGAAAGCCGAGAAAGCUGGAGUGAUUGUAAG
rnacentral:lncRNA from 1 species